rnacentral:rRNA from 2 species
UGCCUAUACAUGCAGUCGAACGAACUCUGGUAUUGAUUGGUGCUUGCAUCAUGAUUUACAUUUCAGUUAGUGGCGAACUGGUGAGUAACACGUGGGAAACCUGCCCAGAUGCGGGGGAUAACACCUGGAAACAGAUGCUAAUACCGCAUAACAACUUGGACCGCAUGGUCCGAGUUUGAAAGAUGGCUUCGGCUAUCACUUUUGGAUGGUCCCGCGGCGUAUUAGCUAGAUGGUGGGGUAACGGCUCACCAUGGCAAUGAUACGUAGCCGACCUGAGAGGGUAAUCGGCCACAUUGGGACUGAGACACGGCCCAAACUCCUACGGGAGGCAGCAGUAGGGAAUCUUCCACAAUGGACGAAAGUCUGAUGGAGCAACGCCGCGUGAGUGAAGAAGGGUUUCGGCUCGUAAAACUCUGUUGUUAAAGAAGAACAUAUCUGAGAGUAACUGUUCAGGUAUUGACGGUAUUUAACCAGAAAGCCACGGCUAACUACGUGCCAGCAGCCGCGGUAAUACGUAGGUGGCAAGCGUUGUCCGGAUUUAUUGGGCGUAAAGCGAGCGCAGGCGGUUUUUUAAGUCUGAUGUGAAAGCCUUCGGCUCAACCGAAGAAGUGCAUCGGAAACUGGGAAACUUGAGUGCAGAAGAGGACAGUGGAACUCCAUGUGUAGCGGUGAAAUGCGUAGAUAUAUGGAAGAACACCAGUGGCGAAGGCGGCUGUCUGGUCUGUAACUGACGCUGAGGCUCGAAAGUAUGGGUAGCAAACAGGAUUAGAUACCCUGGUAGUCCAUACCGUAAACGAUGAAUGCUAAGUGUUGGAGGGUUUCCGCCCUUCAGUGCUGCAGCUAACGCAUUAAGCAUUCCGCCUGGGGAGUACGGCCGCAAGGCUGAAACUCAAAGGAAUUGACGGGGGCCCGCACAAGCGGUGGAGCAUGUGGUUUAAUUCGAAGCUACGCGAAGAACCUUACCAGGUCUUGACAUACUAUGCAAAUCUAAGAGAUUAGACGUUCCCUUCGGGGACAUGGAUACAGGUGGGUGCAUGGUUGUCGUCAGCUCGUGUCGUGAGAUGUUGGGUUAAGUCCCGCAACGAGCGCAACCCUUAUUAUCAGUUGCCAGCAUUAAGUUGGGCACUCUUGGUGAGACUGCCGGUGACAAACCGGAAGAAAGGUGGGGGAUGACGUCAAAUCAUCAUGCCCCUUAUGACCUGGGCUACACCCUGGCUACAAUGG